UUGACUUUGUUAAACAAACCCCAGAUUACACGAUUUGCUUGUGAAGGGUGUCGUUCUUCAUACCAAUCAAACUAAUCGCAUCCACCCAAUUUCUAUAAAAAAGAGAACACAAUUACAAAAUAAUUACAAGUCAAUAAUUAAUCAACUAAUUAAAUAAAAAAAAUAUUACCUUUGAAAUCUUACAAGUAAAAAACCUACGACCCAAAUUUUGUUGAGUCCAAGAAGUCUUUAACAGAGCUUUAUGACCGCACUUACAAUAUCAAAAAUCUUUAUCACAAAAAAUA
rnacentral:lncRNA from 1 species